AGGACGAACGCUGGCGGCGUGCUUAACACAUGCAAGUCGAACGGUAAGGCCCCUUCGGGGGUACACGAGUGGCGAACGGGUGAGUAACACGUGAGCAACCUGCCCUUGACAUUGGAAUAACAGUUGGAAACAGCUGCUAAUACCGGGUAUGACCUUUCAUCGCAUGGGUGGGGGGUGGAAAGCCUUGGCGGUCAAGGAUGGGCUCGCGGCCUAUCAGCUAGUUGGUGAGGUAAUGGCUCACCAAGGCUUCGACGGGUA
rnacentral:rRNA from 1 species